UACGUAGGGGGCAAGCGUUGUCCGGAUUUAUUGGGCGUAAAGAGCGUGUAGGCGGCCAUGCAGGUCCGUUGUGAAAACUCGAGGCUCAACCUCGAGACGCCGGUGGAAACCGUGUGGCUAGAGUCCGGAAGAGGAGAAUGGAAUUCCCGGUGUAGCGGUGAAAUGCGCAGAUAUCGGGAAGAACACCCGUGGCGAAGGCGGUUCUCUGGGACGGUACUGGACGCUGAGACGCGAAAGCGUGGGGAGCGAACAGG
rnacentral:rRNA from 1 species